rnacentral:lncRNA from 1 species
UCUCUCUCUCUCUAACUCUCUCUCUCUCUCUCCUCCCAUUUAAUGACUUGGGACGUUUUCUAAUUCAAACCCUUUCUCCAAGAUUUGAUUUUUAUUUCCUUUUUCCUUUCUCUUUGUUCUUCCCUUUUCUCCUCUUAAUAAAUCUGUUGCAGGUUUUUACAAUUUUUUAGAGAGAGAAACAAAGGGCCGAAGUUAGAGAGAGAUGGGGAAAUAUACGGAGCUUUUGGACUUGGGUGUGAGAAUUGCUUGCAGAUUUCACUCUCACUGUCCGCAGACUGCCCGGAUGUAUUACCACCCUCCGGCGGCUCACGACGACGGAGCCCACCACCAGCAAAAUCAAGUUGGCGGCGGUGACGCGGCGGCGAAGGCGGCGGCGGGGCGUUUUGGGUCUAAUGGGGCUGCCCGGAUUGAUACUACUGACUUUAUUCUUUAUACUAUUGCCUGAUUAUUAUUUUUUAUUAUUAUUAUUAUUAUACAACUCAAGAAAUUGUAAUUUGAGGAGAGAGAAAAAAAUAUUGGANNNNNNNNNNNNNNNNNNNNNNNNNNNNNNNNNNNNNNNNNNNNNNNNNNNNNNNNNNNNNNNNNNNNNNNNNNNNNNNNNNNNNNNNNNNNNNNNNNNNGUAUAUCAAAAGAAAAAAAAUCAGAUUUUUUUUUGAAAUUAUUUUCAGAACUUAAAUUGGAUUGACAAUCGAAAUCUCACACGUAUACCAAUACAAUUCCGAUCCAAAUAAUUUCGGAAAAAAUCGAAAUUCAGAAUUUUGAAAUUCGGUUUGACAAAUAUUGCUCCAAAAUUGAUUUUUUGGACCGAAACCGGCGGAAAUCAGAUGUUUUUAUAUUCACCAUUCUAUUUAUAACUUAAGAAACAUAUAUAUAGUGAACACCACAUCACGCCUUUUUUACUUUUAUUAUAUUAAUCAAGCACACGAUGCAGUCAAAUUAAGCAAACAUGUAUAUAAUUGAAUUGACUAAAUUUAUUAAUAGUAUAACCCCGAGAUUAUUCAAUAAUUGCACUUUAGCCCAUCCUAUAACCAAUCGAGCCAUCAAAGCCCAUUUGUUAACAAAUCUAAAUAUUUGGGCUUAAAUGUUAGCCCAAAACAUCUCCCUCUCUCUCUCUCUCUCUCUUCCUCUCUAAUAUAAUAAUAAUAUGGGAAAAAUAUAUUUUGUGUCCCUCAAGUUUGCACCAAUUUCAUAUUCUGUCCCCAUGUUCACAAAAAAGACAUAUUUAGUCCUUAAUAUUUAAAAAAUGCAAUAUUUUUAGUCAUUUCCGUCAAUUUCACGUUAAAAAUAACAGAAUGAAGCGUGUCACCGUCACUCCCUUAACCAACCUACUAGCGGUAGAUUGAUGGAAAUUGAUAUGCCUAUUGGCCCAGCCCAAUAGCCCACAUUUACUGGGCCACAGGCCCAAAUUAAUAGUUAUUUAUACGAAGGCCCAAUCAUACCCAAAGAAGGUUGGGUCCGCUAAAUUGAUCUCGGCCCAAUCAAUAAAGUAUAAAUACAACUUAAAUUCAUUUUAUAAAGGUACGUUAUUAUUAUUCAAUCAAUUCCUCUUUUCGAAUUCUCUCAACAUUUACCAACUAUCUUCACGUCUGACUUGAGCGUCGGAGGGGUUUCCGCCGGAUCAACCCCCGGCUUAGAUUACGUGUUUUCUGUUCGCAGGAUCCCAGAGCAAAUUAAAGUUCUCAGGACUAUCUAGCUCGUGAGCACGUGACCUACUUUGCUCUCCCAGCUUCAACACAUUAGGUGAUUUAUUUUUUACGUCAUCAGAAAUGACCAAGAGUGUUAAACUAUUGGAAUAUUAGGGACCAAAUGUUAUUUUGUGAACAUAGGGGAACAAAUAUAAAAUUAGUGCAAACUUUAGGGGUAAAAACUGUAAUUUCCCCAGAAUAAUACGAAUGAAUGUUGAAUAAUCAAAAGAGAGUGUUGAAUAAUAUAAUUCUCCAUCUUUCUGUGAGACCUGAAAUUCCAGCUACUACAGAAUCAUCUUCAACAAGAGUACGCCCCUUCUCCCACUACCUACGUAUAUAUAUAUUCUCUGUGUGUGUGUGAUUGUGCGUGUUUAUAUUCUUCUUUUUGCGCUAUUUUAUUCGUUUAUUCUUUUAAUUUUUUUAUUUAGUGUUAAAAAAAACAAAAUUGUAUUCCGCUGACCAAAUCGUUGUGAAGAAAAUUCAGAAAGGAAACUGAAUUGAAAUUGCUGCUAACAAAUUAAGAAUAUCGGAAAUUUGAAAUAAAUGUGGGUCAGUUAAUUAGGUUUCGAUUUUGUUUUUUCAGUUUGCUGUACUCGAAUCAUUUAUUUUGUAGCUCACGAAUCACUGAUCGGAAAUUUGUUGAUACUGUUGUUUUUUUGUAGAAUUAGGUAUCUGGAAUUUAUCUAUUAUUUUUUGUUUUAAUUUUAUCUGAUGGUGUUCUUUGUGUGGUGAUGGAAUCUUUGUGCAGAGGCGAAAUUUGUAGAUUGAAUUUUGUUUUUUGCUCCCUCUUGGAAUCUGAUUUUGGGAUAUAAUGGCUGGUGAGGAUGAUUUCACCUUUUGUCCGGUAUGUUCUUCGAUGUUUUUCAUGAACUAUUUCGUAUUGUAGUUUCAAUUUAUUGGCAAAUUACUUGCUCGUUUUUGGGGCGGUUUUCCCUAAAUCGUGUAUAAAGAUCAAUAUGAGUUGCUUUUUAUCGACUUGUUUUCAAACUUUAAUUCUGGCGUCUGCUAAUAGUGACGGAGCCAAUGUGGUUCUAGGGCGGUUUUAGGGUGUUUUUGUAUAUUUAAAUUGUAGAUUGAUCUGAAAUUUUAUUAAAAAUUCGCAAUCUGUUAAGAACUCCUUUCAAAAUCUUUCGUCGACAAUUCCACUUUUGCAGUUUAGAAAAUCUCACGGCCCUAGCAAAUAUUAGUCAUUGGGGGAUUAAUUGAUAUUUUGGUGUCUUACAUCGAGAAAUAUAUAUCAGACAGUUUCUAAUAUCGACAAAGUGAUGGUUGUUUUUCGAUAAAUAUUUUUUAUAUAAAAAAUGUACAUUUUGUUUUCUUGUACAUUUUUUUUUCGAUUUGUAAUUCACCUAUUCUUUUAGUAUUCAACUUCGAACACUUUGUGGUGUUAUUAGGUUCCCCCGCCAGUAGACGAUACUCAGAAAGUUGCCGAGGAUGUAAGCGGGAUUCGUAUAGAUGAUGUAAAUGAAAAUGCUUCCGAUAAGAUUAGUGACAAGAAAAAUGGUACUAAUAUAUGGAAAGUUAGUGGUACCUCUCAGAAGCAAGAAACAGUUGGCUCUUUGUCUUUUACUG